GCGGCAAUAGUCUAGCGGUAGGACAGGGGCUUCCCAAGCCUCUAACCCGGGUUCAAAUCCCGGUUGCCGCA
rfam:Candidatus Syntrophoarchaeum caldarius isolate BOX2 BOX2_8_reassembly_contig02, whole genome shotgun sequence.